rnacentral:rRNA from 1 species
UACGGAGGAUGCAAGCGUUAUCCGGAUUUAUUAGGUUUAAAGGGUGCGUAGGCGGAAUAAUAAGUCAGUGGUGAAAUCCUGCAGCUUAACUGUAGAACUGCCAUUGAAACUGUCAUUCUUGAGUAUAGUUGAGGUGGGCGGAAUGUGUCAUGUAGCGGUGAAAUGCAUAGAUAUGACACAGAACACCGAUUGCGUAGGCAGCUCACUAAACUAUAACUGACGCUGAGGCACGAAAGCGUGGGGAUCAAACAGG